rnacentral:rRNA from 1 species
UACGUAGGGUGCGAGCGUUGUCCGGAAUUAUUGGGCGUAAAGGGCUCGUAGGCGGUCUGUUGCGUCAGGAGUGAAAACUCGGGCUUAACCCCGAGCCUGCUUCUGAUACGGGCAGACUAGAGGUAUGCAGGGGAGAACGGAAUUCCUGGUGUAGCGGUGAAAUGCGCAGAUAUCAGGAGGAACACCGGUGGCGAAGGCGGUCUCUGGGCAUUACCUGACGCUCGAUGCACGAAAGCGUGGGGAGCAAACAGG